rnacentral:lncRNA from 1 species
CAGCAUCUGCCUUUAAGGUAGACUUUACCUAUUUCAUAGUUUCCAUGAUUCAACUAGCCCUUUAGCAUAUAUAGCACAAAAUAUGAUCAUGAUUAACCAUUCCCAUGGCCCAUCAUUACCAAGUAUAUCCACACCUCUCAAUAACCGUAUACAUACAAAAUGAUUAUACCACUAUGCUCAAAAUACAUAAGCCAUUUUCGCAUGGCUAUCCAAAUAUAUACAACACCAAAGUACUUGACUAAUAACAAAAAGGGUAGUCCUAUACAUGCCAUUUUCAGAGUUCAACCAAAAGUGUACCAAAAGGGCUUUGAUAGUGUGGGUGAUUUCGACUUCGACAAUCCCGAGUCCCGUAGCUGACGAGCCAAAAUCUAUAAGACAGAGAAUCAAAGAAACGGAGUAAGCAUUUAAUGCUUAGUAAGUUUUGAGCAAAACAAAGUGUUCUCAUUCACUGUCAUUGGUCAUUCAUUUCAACUAUUCGAUGAGGUUAACCUAGAGCUUCAUCUCGAACUAUAAUAUCAAUAAACGCAUCACUUGGUUGUCUCAUAUAUACUUUCGAAUAAUAAUGACCUAGAUGGUCAAAUAUUUCAAAAGCACAUUCUUCAUCAAUUUUCAACUUUCAAUAAUCCUUUCCACUUGUUCAUAAUCACAUCCAUAUUUUAAGUAUUUCAACAUGACAAGUACUAAAUUACCGUAGGUACAUAAAGAACCAGACAUAUUCCUUAUCACAUAUACGUAAACUUACAAGACAUAAUCCUUACCUUGUACUGGCACAUCUAGCUAAACCCAACCCAUACUCAAAUCAUAAGGCUUUUGGGCAGAAUAUGCAUUAAUACAUAAGAAUAUUUCAUCACAUACUUCAUUAUACAAGCAUACCAUUACCAAUUAGGUCAUUCUCAUAUUUGGAGUUAUAAUAUUAAUCACAGUUACCUACCUCUUUGAUAUUGAUAAUUCACCUCGAAAUCAUUCCGCCGAUGAGUAAGUAAUACGUACCUGAACAUCUUAAAUACAUAAUACUUAUUUGAUGGUAACUUAUUGCAGAUACUCAAUAUCAAAGUCUUACUUGAAUCCUAGCAUUUAGCCGUCGGGUCUUUAAAGCUCGGAUAUAGUACGAGCACGAAGCCUACGAACAUUAAUCAGGAUAAUAUUCUCGCAUAAAGCCUGCGGGGUUUUAACCCGGAUAAAAUCUCCACACGUGGUCAUUGGGUCUUACCCGGACAGAAUCUCCACACAUAGUCAUCGGGUCUUACCCGGAAUAUAUUUCCAAGUUUCAUGUACAUUUAAUCACAUGUUACAACAUUCACAUCGACUGUCAUAUUUGUAAUUCAUUUGCCUCAUCAAUUAUCUAAUAAUACACACCUUUCACAUUUGAUCAUUCGGCCACAAUAUACACAUCUCCUACGUAUUGCACAUUAGCCAUUCGGCUUUACCAAAUAUACAUCUCUCAUACAUAUUUCAUAUUAGCCAUUUGGCUUUACCACAUAUACAUGUCUCAUACAUGUCUCAUAUUAGCCAUUCGGCUUUACCACACAUAUAUAUAUUUACCUUGUACAUCAAUUUCAACAAUGGCUUAUAAGCAACUCAAACAGUUUCAUUAAUGUUUACAACAAAAUCACAUAUUCACUACAAUCUGUUUUUCCUGAGCAAUAGUCACUAAAUUAUUUAUAACUGGAGCUACAAAACUCCAAAUCAAUUGCCGUUAAUUUUCCCUGAAUAUAGACUCAUAUAUCUUCCAUACCUAAAAUUUUCAGAAUUUUAGGUUUGGCCAAUCAACACCAGAUUUUUCUUAAAGUUUCCCUUGUUUCACUGUUUGACUAAUCUGACCACUCUUCACUACGAAUCAAAUUUCUCAUUGUAAAAAAUUAAAAAUGUGUUCUAUUUGAUUUCAUUUGAAACUAGACUCAUUAAGGAGUCUAAGCAUAUAAAUUUUAUCUUAUAACCGUUUUUGUACAAAUUAUAAUGAUUUUCUAAAAACAGAAUAGGGGAUUUCGGAGUCAUUCUGACACCGUCUCACACAACUUUAAAUAUCUCUUUAUAGGAAAUUUCUUUGCUCACACGGCCUCUUUUAUAAGAAACUAGAUCAAUUAAGCUUUGAUUACAUAUUUUAUUCGGCCUAUAAUUCCACGCCAAUAAUUUAUGGUGAUUUUCUAAAAUUACGUUACUGCUGCUGUCCUAAGCAAAUUAUUACAAUUUGCUCUUAAAUUUCCAAGUCCAAACACUUAUGAACUUACCAUUUGAGUUUAAACCAUAUCAUGGCCACACCAUAUCUUAUUAAAUCAACCCAUUAUGUCCUAUUAUGAUUGAAUUUACUCAACGUUUAAUCACUUAAAACUUACCUCGGAAGUGGCCGACGACUAGAUAUCCACGGCUAUUCGUUUACUUUCUCUUUUCCCCUAUCCGACUUUGAUCCUCUUUGCUCUUAAGCUUAAUUAAAACAAAUGAAUUUGUUUCAUUACUUAUUCAACAUUACUUGCCAUUAUAAAUCAUAAAAAAAAAUGACCAACGCAUACGACAUCAACAAUAUAUGUACAUACCAAAUACCUAUUUUGCAUACUUAUCAAUAUGAACUUAAAGCCCCAUCCUAAUACUCAUGUACAUAUUAUCCACCAUUUUCAAACCAAUUCAUCAAUGCAAUCAUACCAUUACAAAUCAACCUAAAAUAACCAUAUCUAAUAAUCAAAUACCUAUAGCAUUGCAUAUUUCUCACAUAGCAAGUACAACUAAAUUCAUUAUUAAUAUAUAUAUCUAAACACUUAACUACAAGAUUUAAUCACCAUUAUCAAAUCAUAAAACAGCUUAUAAUCAUCAUCUAUAUUUACUUCACAUAAACCGAAAUAUCCAUUACAUCAUCUUUAAUACACUUAGCAUUUUACCCAUUUAAUCAAGCCAAAUCUCAAGACCAUUCCAUCACGCAAAUUAUACCAUAAAUCAUACUUACAAUUUAAGUUAAUACAUGACCGGAAAUCACCAUCAUUAACAUCGUUAUCAAACCAAAACCAAAACGCAUCUAUCAUGCAAAUGACAUCAACACAAAUCCACCUUAGCCGAAACUUAGCUCAUCUUCAUCACAUAGCAAAGAUUUAAACCAUGGGCUAGGUAGAACUCAAGCUAACAACUAAAAACAUGCAUGAAUCUCAUGGAACAACAUCAAACAUACCUCCUCCUAAACACCAACCAACCGAACAUGAAGCAAGAAAACUCCUUUCUUUUUCCUUUGAUUUUUCGGUCAAGAAGAACAAAGAGGAUGAAGCCUUUUUUUUUUCUUUUUUUUUUCUUCUAGGUACGGCACAAUGGAGGAGCAACCACACACAUUUUUUU